ACGGCUCAGUAACACGUGGACAAUCUGCCCUGAAGUGGAGAAUAAUCCCGGGAAACUGGGGGUAAUACUCCAUAGUUCGUUAUUACUGGAAUGUUUUUCGAACGAAAGAUCCGUCGCUUCAGGAUGAGUCUGCGGCCGAUUAGGUAGUUGUUGGGGUAAUUGCCCAACAAGCCUGUAAUCGGUACGGGUUGUGGGAGCAAGAGCCCGGAGAUGGAUUCUGAGACACGAAUCCAGGCCCUACGGGGCGCAGCAGGCGCGAAAACUUUACCAUGCGGGCAACCGUGAUAAGGAAACCCCGAGUGCCAGCACAGGCUGGCUGUCCGCCAGUUUAAACAACUGGCGAAGAAAGGGCCGGGCAAGACCGGUGCCAGCCGCCGCGUUAAUACCGGCGGCUCGAGUGGUGGCCGCUAUUACUGGGCUUAAAGGGUCCGUAGCUUGAUAAUAGGGUCCCUUGAGAAAUCCGCCGGCUUAACUGGCGGGCGUUCAGGGGAAACUUGUUUUCUAGGGACCGGGAGAGGUGAGGGGUACUGCCGGGGUAGGAGUGAAAUCCUGUAAUCCCGGUGGGACCACCUAUGGCGAAGGCAUCUCACCAGAACGGGUCCGACAGUGAGGGACGAAAGCUGGGGGAGCAAACCGGAUUAGAUACCCGGGUAGUCCCAGCUGUAAACUAUGUGCGUUAGGUGUGUCAGUGACCACGUGUCACUGAGGUGCCGAAGGGAAACCGUGAAACGCACCGCCUGGGGAGUACGGUCGCAAGGCUGAAACUUAAAGGAAUUGGCGGGGGAGCAC
rnacentral:rRNA from 1 species